rnacentral:rRNA from 1 species
UACGGAGGGUGCGAGCGUUAUUCGGAAUUACUGGGCGUAAAGCGCGUGUAGGCGGCAGGGCAAGUCUGGUGUGAAAGCCCGGGGCUCAACCCCGGAAGUGCAUUGGAAACUGCUCUGCUUGAGUACCGGAGAGGAAGGGGGAAUUCCCGGUGUAGCGGUGAAAUGCGUAGAUAUCGGGAGGAAUACCAGUGGCGAAGGCGCCCUUCUGGACGGUUACUGACGCUGAAUCACGAAAGCUAGGGGAGCAAACGGG